UUACUUCCUCCUCCUCCUCUAGAACCUCCAUUCCAUCUCACCAAAACCCUCAUACUUGACCUCCAAGUAAAGAAAGGAAUGGAGAUUUCUUCUCCUUUCAUGAAGAAGAGAUUGCUUAGAAUAUAGAGAAGAUUCGGUGGUUGUUUAAUUGCUUCUAGGAGGUGAAGAUUCAUGCAAUGAAUUAGAGCCAAUGGGGAAGCAACACUGGAGUGUUUUAGCUCACCAAGUGUGUGUUAGAUCGGCGUAACGGUGCGAAGGUGUCAUGUUUGGCAAUGGUCUAUAGUUGGUGCAUUCAUUCUAAGAUAUAUAUAUAUAUAUAUAUUUUAUUUAUCUUUUUGUCUUUGGCAUGUAUUGGUGGGAUCCAUUAGGUUAUUCAUGUUGACUAAUUUGUAUUUAAUUUCCCCUUUGGAUACCCUGUAUCCUGCCGUUGUCUAAGAUUUGUACAAGAAACUAUAUCCAGGAUUUUGGGAUUGUAUUGUGAAUUUAUGUCUGGUGUUGUAAUUUCCUAUGUUUCCCUGUCUUAUUAUGGUCAUGAUGUUCUUGUAUCCA